GCUACCACAUCCAAGGAAGGCAGCAGGCGCGCAAAUUACCCAAUCCCAAUACGGGGAGGUAGUGACAAUAAAUACUGAUACGGGGCUCUUUCGGGUCUCGUAAUUGGAAUGAGUACAAUCUAAAUCCCUUAACGAGGAACAAUUGGAGGGCAAGUCUGGUGCCAGCAGCCGCGGUAAUUCCAGCUCCAAUAGCGUAUAUUAAAGUUGUUGCCGUUAAAAAGCUCGUAGUUGAACCUUGGACCUGGCUGAUCUGUCCUCCUAAUCGAGCGCACGGAUUCGGUCGGGUCUUUCCUUCUGGGGAGCCCUAUGCCCUUCACUGGGUGUAGUGGGGAACCAGGACUUUUACCUUGAAAAAAUUAGAGUGUUCAAAGCAGGCCUUUGCUCGAAUACAUUAGCAUGGAAUAAUAGAAUAGGACAUCGGUUCUAUUUUGUUGGUUUCUAGGACCGCUGUAAUGAUUAAUAGGGAUAGUCGGGGGCGUCAGUAUUCAAUUGUCAGAGGUGAAAUUCUUGGAUUUAUUGAAGACUAACUACUGCGAAAGCAUUCGCCAAGGAUGUUUUCAUUAAUCAGUGAACGAAAGUUAGGGGAUCGAAGACGAUCAGAUACCGUCGUAGUCUUAACCAUAAACUAUGCCGACUAGGGAUCGGACGGUGGUUUUUUUAUGCCCCGUUCGGCACCUUACGAGAAAUCAAAGUUUUUGGGCUCGGGGGGGAGUAUGGUCGCAAGGCUGAAACUUAAAGAAAUUGACGGA
rnacentral:rRNA from 1 species